rnacentral:lncRNA from 1 species
GAGAGAGAGAGAGAGAGAGAGAGAGAGAGAGAGAGAUCAGUCACACCUCCUACUAUAUAUAGCGCAAACAUUACUGAGGAAGUGCAAGAACUCCACUUGCUGCUCUGUGAAAAUCACUUGCACCAACACGCAAAAAGUAAAUUGUUAGAAAUGAGGAUAAACUAGUAACACAUGCAUACAAGUAUUCACACACAACAGUGUCUGAUUCUGAGAUACCUUAAUUGGAGAAAGAUCAUAGAAAAAGAAAACACCAGGCAGUAAUUGUGUGCGUCCUGCUUCUGUUUCUCGAAAUGCUCAGCCACAGAGAACUGCCAAGUCCCAACCUUUAAACCCAAUUCUUAGAUAAUAUUACUUCAAAUGGUGUGAGCAGUUUACGGACAAGUUACAGCCAAGUAAGAGGCUCUGAUCUGAGAGGUUUGUUUUCUCACCUGGUUUGACUGAAUAACAUGGCCUUUAACAUCUGUGCAACC